rnacentral:tRNA from 1 species
GCCCUGAUAGCUCAGUUGGAUAGAGCAUCGGUCUUCUAAACCGAGGGUCGUAGGUUCAAAUCCUACUCAGGGUGCCA